rnacentral:misc_RNA from 1 species
AAUGUUGCCAGCUGUGAAAUAUUCUUUCACACUUAUACUUGGAUUGAUAACUGCGAUAACAAUGCGAAUAACGUUGCCAACCAUAUUAGAAUACGAUAAUCAGUUUGUGUUUGCAAAAUUGAAGUAUCUGGUGAUAAGGGUUUAUUUAUCACUAACUGGGAUUAUAGUGCUUGAAAUGUUACUCAUAUAUCUAAGUGUUAUUCUGAUCUAUAUGACAACCGAUUGGAUUGCUGUGCUGUAUUUACCUCUGCUUAUAUAUGCUAUGCAUCGUACAUAUGCCACUUGUGUUUUGUAUCUAGCGAGGCUUAUAAGUGACAAAGAUGCUUAUCUUUUUCUAACUGAACAUUGGCGCAGAUACUUUGAGCAUGAUGAUCAAUUUUGGAUUGAGAUACAGACAAAGUUGCAGUGUUGUGGUUUGGAAAGCCCACGAACUUAUCUGAUGUACUCGCGCCAGGUGCAUCCGACCUGCUAUAGUCAUCAUCAUGGAGAAAUCGAAUUGAUCACCAGAGGAUGUGAGGAUGUUGUCUACGAUCAUUUCUUUGCUGUGCAGAUUCUCGCCAAGGGACUCAGCUGGUUAGCAUUGGGUCUUCAGUUGUUAGCGACUGUGUUCUACUUGGGUUUUGUGCUUCACAAAUAUAUGUACAUUAUUUAUCCAAAUAUGAGGAGAGUCAGAAUAUACAUUUACUAA